UUAAGAAUCUUGCACAAUGGGGGCAACCCUGAUGCAGCGACGCCGCGUGAAUGAUGAAGGCCUUCGGGUUGUAAAGUUCAGUAAGCAGGGAAGAAUAAGCAACGGGUAAUAUUCGUUGUGAUGACGGUACCUGCCUAAAGCCCCGGCUAACUACGUGCCAGCAGCCGCGGUAAUCCGUAUGGGGCAAGCGGUGUUCGGAAUUAUUGGGCGUACAGGGCGUCAAGGCGGGGGAUUAAGUUAGAUGUGAAAGCUAUGGGCUCAACCCAAAAACUGCAUCUAAGACUGGUUCUCUUGAGUCCGGGAGAGGAGAGCGGAAUUCCAGGUGUAGCGGUGAAAUGCGUAGAUAUCUGGAAGAACACCAGUGGCGAAGGCGGCUCUCUGGCCUAGGACUGACGCUGAAGCGCGAAAGCGUGGGGAGCGAACA
rnacentral:rRNA from 1 species